AUUUAGGAAGUUAGUUUAGGCAACUGUUGCAAUAGUUGAGGAGAAACAUGAUGGCAGCUUGGACAAGAAGGUAGCAGUGGAGGUGGUGAGAGGCAGUUGAUUUCAGAUACAUUUUAGAGGUAGGGCUGAUAUUAUUUGCUGACAGAUGCAAUGUAUGGUGUAAGAAGUGACAGGUCAAGGACUCCAAAUGUAUGAAGGCAAGCAACUGGAAGGAUGACAUUACUGUUAACCAUUAACUAAAAUGAGAAGACUGUAAGUGGAGCCAGUUUGGCUGUAGGGAUCUGGAGCUCAGUUGUAAACAUGUGAUGUUUGAGAUGGAUAUCAGAUGGCCAGAAUGUAGCAGGAUGUAUGAGUCUGGAGUUCAGAGGUGACAUUUGUGCUAGCUACACAAAUUUAGAAGCAUCAGCUUUUAGAUGGUUUUAAAGAUCCAUGAGACCAGAUGAGAUCACCUAGGGAGUGAGUACAGAUGGAAAAGAAAAAAGGCUCAUGAACUAAGUCCUGGGACACUCCAAAGUUAAAGAGUUUGGGAGGUGAGGCAGAGCCAGGAUAGGAGGCUGAGAAGCAGCAGCCCGCUGAAUGCAGGAACGCACAAGAUGACGAGGAGAGUGUGUGUCCUGGAAGCUAAGCGAUGAGAAUAUUUCUAGAACCAAAAGUGAUAAAUUCUGUCCAUUGAUGCUAAGCAAUCAGGAAAAACGCAGACUAACAACUGUUGGAGGAAUUAGCAAUUGAUCAUGGGUGACCAGCCAACAGCAGAUAGGGGGCUCCGGUGGCUUCGGUCUCUUUCUCAUCAACCCUCAGCUCAGCCACAUGCACGGCCUGGAAGGGAGAGAAGCAGAGAUGCGUGCUGGGGCCGAGCUGUGCCCCAGCCCAGGCCUGGAGCAAGGCCUGUGUGGACAGUCUCAUCCUAGGAGGAUGAAGAAGGCAGUGGCGUUACCCACGUAGUGCUGUGCCAACACCCAGCUGGAUAACUCCUUGUCCCGGUGGACGUCAAAUCUCCCC